GGGGGCGUAGCUCAGUUGGGAGAGCGUUUGAAUGGCAUUCAAAAGGUCAGGGGUUCAAUUCCCCUCGUCUCCA
rnacentral:tRNA from 2 species